GCCGGCCGCGAAGCCCGCCAGGAAGGACACGACGACGGCCGCCUGCACUGACCUCUCCGAGAAGUCUGCCAUAAUCGCGCCGAGCUUCUCCUUACUCCCACAAGACCGCACGGUGAUACCGGAAGUAAAGUGACAGUAAAAGUCAACAAGUCACCAUUCUUGUUGGCCUCCGGGAAGCUUCCGGAACUGGUAUCCGGUCUGCAUGUGGCCAUCCUCGGUGUGGGGCAGCCGCUGCUGUUGCCCCGGUAACCGUACCCGUGUUUCCGGUUGUACUGCGACGUCAUCACUCCGAAGACCGAAUUGUAGCGCUUGGAGUCCGUGGAGGGCUCGAACACGAAGUCGUCAGGCACCGAUGUUUCUGCUGGCGCAGACAGGGCAUCACCAUGGCAACAGACAGUCGAUCCAGAGGCGUGCUAGAGUCAUGUGAGACACCGGG